rnacentral:rRNA from 1 species
UACGGAGGGAGCUAGCGUUAUUCGGAAUUACUGGGCGUAAAGCGCGUGUAGGUGGCUUGGAAAGUCAGAGGUGAAAUCCCGGAGCUUAACUCCGGAACUGCCUUUGAAACUAUCAGGCUAGAAUCUGUCAGAGGAUAGUGGAAUUCCUAGUGUAGAGGUGAAAUUCGUAGAUAUUAGGAGGAACACCAGAGGCGAAGGCGACUAUCUGGGGCAGCAUUGACACUGAGACGCGAAAGCGUGGGGAGCAAACAGG